CCCUUAGAUGUUCUGGGCCGCACGCGCGCUACACUGAUUCAUGCAACGAGUUUUGUCCUUGGCUGAAAGGCCUGGGUAAUCUUUGAACGUGAAUCGUGCUGGGGAUAGAUGAUUGCAAUUAUUCAUCUUCAACGAGGAAUUCCUAGUAAACGCAAGUCAUCAGCUUGCAUUGAUUACGUCCCUGCCCUUUGUACACACCGCCCGUCGCACCUACCGAUUGAAUGGUCCGGUGAAAUCUUCGGAUCUGAGAGAUGUUGGAUUAAUUUCUGACGUCUUUUGGAAAAGUCGCUUAAACCUUAUCAUUUAGAGGAAGGUGAAGUCGUANCA
rnacentral:rRNA from 1 species